rnacentral:lncRNA from 1 species
GGACCAUUCAGUGUCCCCGAGGGUUUUCAUGCACGUGACCGAGAGCAUGACUUUGUUGUUUUCCUUUUAUAUUGACAAAGCUUUUGUCCGGUUGAAAUGUUAUUGAUUAUUAUGACUAAAAACAACCUAAGGAUUGAUUAUAAACAUCGUUUGACGUGUUUCUAUGAACUUUACUGAUACUUUUCGGAUUUUUCGUCUGUCUGUUGUUACUGCCUUUGAGCCUGUGGAUUACUGAACAAAAUGCGCGGACAAAACUGAGGUUUUUGGAUAUAAAGAGGGACUUUAUCGAACAAAACAAACAUUUAUUGAGUAAAUGGGAGUCUUGUGAGUGCAACCAUACGAAGAUCAAAGAAGGGCUGAACCUCAUUGGAGGAAUCCAGUGUUGUGUUCGAGACCACCUUAAGCGAGACCGAUUCAAGACCAAGACCGGAGCGAAUCGAGUCCGAGUCAAAACCAAGACCGGAGAGGGGGUGAGACCAAGUCAAGACCGAGGCCAGGAGGGGGAUGAGAGGUUCGAGACCGAGUCAAACCGAGACCAGAAUAAUCCGAGAGGUCCGAGACCAAGUCCAAGUCAAGACCAUGACUAUAAUUUUGUAAAAUCGUGACCAAAAUAUGAUUUAAAAAUGUCCAGUAUUUCUGUGUUCAUAUUUCAGAAGAGUAUAUGAAUUCUUUAGAUAUUCAGAAUGGUGAAAAAAAAUGCAUGCUGAGGGCAAAUAGAGCCACUCUACAAUGAGGACCUUCUGUGCUUUCAGAGAAAGGCCAAGUAUUUAUAAAAUAAUAAAAAGUAAUUAUUAUUAUGUUGUUCUUUUCAAUGAUGUUCUGAUUUAAUCUCUUCAGUUUUUGCUACAAAGGUAAAGGUUAAUACUUUGGGGGUCUCUGGGGAGAUACAUCUAGCUAGCUAAGUCAGCCAUUGGCUGGGCCAUCAGAAGCUUGAUAGAAGGCAUCUGCCAUUCAACUGAAUUAGGGCAACAUUUUGGUGUGACAGUGGAAUCAACCAAUCACAUUGACUUGUAGUGGCCAACAGGUCAAAGGUCACUGUGAAAUAGCGAGCAGUAGUUUUCCCAAGGUCUAGCUAUCUUUUGUUGUAGGCUAGUUUGCAGUCACUGCAGCAGGUGCGUCAAAGAGAAUGUUGUUGCUAAUUUGCUAACUUCUCACUUUUCAAGAAUAACUUUCAAUGAGAAGUUAUGUUUCUAAUGAUCACCAUCUGGUGAGUGGA